CUUUAUAGCAGAGAAAAAAGGAAGAGGGGUAUAAACCUCCCUCCCCCAUGGAUUGAUUUAAUUCAUUAGUUGCAGUAGUUCCAAUCAAGGUCUAGUGCGCAGUGUUCCACUUCAGUGAAUAGAAUCUUUAAAGUGAUGGUGGCCUAAUCAGCACUAUGAUAUUUAAAGUGUAAUGUCUCAAGCUUUCAUCCUUACUAAGGAGAAAACAAC